AACAGGAUUAGAUACCCUGGUAGUCCACGCCCUAAACGAUGUCAACUAGUUGUCGGGUCUUCAUUGACUUGGUAACGUAGCUAACGCGUGAAGUUGACCGCCUGGGGAGUACGGUCGCAAGAUUAAAACUCAAAGGAAUUGACGGGGACCCGCACAAGCGGUGGAUGAUGUGGAUUAAUUCGAUGCAACGCGAAAAACCUUACCUACCCUUGACAUGUACGGAAGUCCGCUGAGAGGUGGAUGUGCUCGAAAGAGAACCGUAACACAGGUGCUGCAUGGCUGUCGUCAGCUCGUGUCGUGAGAUGUUGGGUUAAGUCCCGCAACGAGCGCAACCCUUGUCCUUAGUUGCUACGCAAGAGCACUCUAAGGAGACUGCCGGUGACAAACCGGAGGAAGGUGGGGAUGACGUCAAGUCCUCAUGGCCCUUAUGGGUAGGGCUUCACACGUCAUACAAUGGUCGGUACAGAGGGCUGCCAAACCGCGAGGUGGAGCUAACCCCAGAAAACCGAUCGUAGUCCGGAUCGCAGUCUGCAACUCGACUGCGUGAAGCUGGAAUCGCUAGUAAUCGCGGAUCAGCAUGUCGCGGUGAAUACGUUCCCGGGUCUUGUACACACCGCCCGUCACACCAUGGGAGUGGGUUUUGCCAGAAGUAGGUAGCCUAACCGUAAGGAGGGCGCUUACCACGGCAGGAUUCAUGACUGGGGUGAAGUCGUAACAAGGUAACC
rnacentral:rRNA from 1 species